GCGACAAUUGUCACUUUGGCUAUGCCGGUUAUAUACUAAUAAUUAUGACGGAAAGCGAUAUGUAUAUUAUAACUAGCUUAAGGAAAAAGUUAAAUAAUUCCUUCUCGGGAGCGUGGGCAAUGGGCCGCGUGCUUUUGUAUUCGUUAUGUGUGUUGUGUGUGUUAUGGAGGGGCAUUGGCACCGUGGACUAUUGCCAACAACUUAGGGAAUUGAAGCUUGAAACUGGUCGAGGCAGCGAGAUCCCGGAACGCGUGCUGUCCAUAGACGGCAGAACACGUAUACUCAAGCUAUGUGCGCAAGACUCUGUGCCCACCGCAGCGCGGGCGAUAAUACGAGCAUUGAUCGUACAUGGACUGCGAUAUCGCGAGCUCGAGAUCGUGGAAGAAAAGUGCACGCUACAGCAGCUCCAAGACUUUCAAGAUGAUAUUAAUCUAGAUUCCCACGUCAAUGAUUACUUCGUACUGAGCAUAGCUACAGCAUGGCGUGACGAGGGGACCUCAAUAGCCCAGUGCUCCGAAGGCGCCUGCGGGCUCGCGGGGUCCCGCCUCGAAGUGCUCGGUCGCGGCGCGGCGCCCGUAGCCAGACGACUACUGGCACGUCUGGCGCCCGGGGCUCCGUUUCACUGUCUACAGAGCUGGGAGAAGCUACGGGAACCUGAGUGCGGUUUUAUUGAUGACUUCUCGCCUAAGAAGACACCCUGCAGCGAAUGGACAAAAAAUCCAUGUUCUGGAGAAUGCGUGACUGUGGCGAUAGAGGGAGGAGAUUAUGAGGAAGAACAAUGUGAACUAGCACAAGAACUAGCCAAAGUAACAGAUCUACCACUGCGUCUAACUUAUUCUUUGAAUUAUUCAAUAGAAGAGCGCGCCGACAGCUCGUACCUCUUAUUUGACUUCGAUAUUUUGAUGGGCAGCAAGGAGCGAAUAUGGCCUGCACCCUUUCAUCCGAACCUCACUCAGGAUGCCGCUUCUUUGUCAUUGGGAGAUGUUAGAAGACUACUGUAUUUUGCUCCUGCAGUUCUGAACCUCGCAUACCGCUUCCAGCCACCAGCUUCGAUGUUGCGUCGUGUUCUAGACAAUAAUAGAAAACUUGGAAUUGACACAGCGGCUUGUAAAACCAUCGUCGAAUCUAAAAACUCCCAAGACCUCGCUCGCUCCUGGAUCACAUGCAAUGACAAAUUUUGCGACUUGAAACCUGAGGUGUUCAUUUAUGUAUGUGAAGCGGAAGAAAAUAAAGAUAAACGGUACGAUACUAUCAGAAGAAUAGUAAAAAACCACUGGUUAAACAUUACUAAUCGAAGUAGUAUAUUGGAGCUGCGGUAUGUGGAGAUAAAUUGUUCUCUAACCGAUGUAGUCAGAGGCGAUUUGGAAAAUUUUAUGACGAAUUACGAGUAUGUAAGCGUGCGUGGUGUGGUGGCCAUGGGAUCGGCAGGAGCGUCGUCGCUGCCGAAAUUUGCGCGGGAGUCGGCCAAGGUCCCUCUGGUGCUGGUGGCGCCGCCGCCAAGCGGCGUGGAGCUGGCGAGCGCACGGAUUACGGCAGCGUCAGCGGCAGCGCUGGCGGCGGCGGUGCGCGCGCUGCUGGCUGACUGCAAGUGGCGGCGCGUCGCACUUCUCAGAGAAGAGGGUCGAUGCGAUGUAUGGAAGCGGUCACUGGGCGUAGCAGAGGCGUUAAACGAGCAAGACCUUGUAGUGUACCAGGACAUCGUGCAAGCGCAUAACGUGACGGGCACACUUGACGCACUACAAACGCACGAUGCGCGCAUCGUUGUGAUAGACGCUAGUGCGGGCACAGCGUGGAUCGUGCUAGCAACAGCGGAGAAACGGGGGCUGACGAUGGAAGCUGGGUUUGUGUGGAUCGUCAUCGGCGCGGCGGGAGACACUUCCAAUUCGGACUGGCUGCCAACGACUUCAGAGUUCUCUUACUUCACUGUCAGCGGUGGCUGGCGCGGCGGCCAAGCUCCAAACAGCCUGCUCCCCUCCUCGACACUACGCGACGCUUUAGACAACGAGUUCCCAAGAUGGCCGCCACACACAUCCGCGCUCGUCGACGCCAUUUUGUUGAUGCUUGAGGGCACGACGCGAUUGGAAGAAAGGCAUCCGGAGCUCAGAGAUGAUCCGCAUCGCCCCGGAGUAACAGAAGAAUUCAAAGAUAUCCUCGACAACAUCACAGUGCAGGGUGUGACUCAUGAUAUACACAAGAAUUCAGCUCCGCCCGUGUUCACACACCGCUGGUCAAAGAGCGGUGCACAACUUGUCGGCGCGUGGAAUGGUCAGAAGAAUAUACAUGUUGUUAAAGAUCAGCUGUGCGGUAAAGUGCUCGACGGUCCCGGUUGCUACACCACCCGGUCCGGUAACAUCUUUAACCCCCACUGCCACGAUUUCGCCUGGGUCAUACUAGUUUGCGCUCUGGCGUUCGGACUGCCGUCUCUCUACGCCGCCCGCGCCGCACGCCGACGCCGUUUACAACUCAGAGACCGCGCCGUAGAAGAGCGCGUUUUGCUCCGCGGCGGCCAAUCCGCCGCCGAGGCCGCCGCUGGCGCCGCUUUGGCCGAACACGCCGUUCCUCGCGAAGCCUUGCAAUUGCUGGAUAAGUUGGGCACUGGACAUUAUGGGGUUGUGCAUCAGGCUGUGUUACGCCGCCCGAAUAGAGCUGCGCUUGGAGUUGCUGUCAAGGCACCCCGUCCAGAAGCACCAGUCGGUGCAGCCGCUGAGCUACUUCGCGAAGCGGCGCUUCUUGCGACAUUAAAACACGACCAUGUAGUGCGUUUCACAGGCGUGUGCUGGGAAGGAGGGCCCCUAGUACUAAUGGAGCACGCCUUUUAUGGCGACUUGCGACGGUACACAGAGACGUUCGGGCCGCUAACUGCCUAAUAGACGUUCGUCGAUGUCUGAAACUGGCCGAUUUCGGGAUGGCAAGGCGUUUGGACAGUCCGGGGAAGGGAGAAUAUUUAUGCAAGCGUCGUGCCAUGUUUCCGGUCCUAUGGAUGGCGCCAGAAUCCCUCUCCCGUGGCGUUUUCUCCGCAGCAAGUGACGUAUGGGCACUAGGGGUGCUGUUACUAGAACUAGCCACGUUAGGAGAGCGGCCAUACGGCGCAUGGAUCACGCCUCGAGUUU
rnacentral:misc_RNA from 1 species